AAGCUGCCGUAUUGGGCCAUAGAUGCGGGCGAGGUCAGCGAAGUAGGAGCGUAGCUCCGGGUCCAGGAACGGGAGGUGACCGAGGAGAGGCAGCCCGCGUGGCCCCGGAGGCGGUGGUGCGGCACCCUGCUUCUUGAUGAAAACCCAUGCGCACCAAUAGAUGGCAAGGAAGAUUAAGGCUAAAGCGAGGGUCACUCGCGUAAGUUCGUCGCUGCUGUUGCUGCUUUCCCACCACAACGACCAUUCUCUGGAUGAUGUUAGUUUCCUGAGAAAAUCUGAGAUGGGUUUCAUGGUGUAUGAGUAUUGGGCACGUGGAUAUCUUUAAGAUGGCAGUGAUACAGUGCUAUCCUGCGGCAGUGGUUACUAAUUGCCAACGCUAGCCUCCAUUUAUAGCUAGCCGGUAAAUCCAAUUUGUCAGAUAGUAC
rnacentral:lncRNA from 1 species